UACGUAGGGGGCAAGCGUUGUCCGGAAUCAUUGGGCGUAAAGAGCGCGUAGGCGGCCCUGUAAGUCCGCUGUGAAAGUCAAGGGCUCAACCCUUGGAUGCCGGUGGAUACUGCAGGGCUAGAGUCCGGAAGAGGCGAGUGGAAUUCCUGGUGUAGCGGUGAAAUGCGCAGAUAGUCAGGAGGAACACCGGUGGCGAAGGCGGGUUGCUGGGCUGACACUGACGCUGAGGCGCGAAAGCCAGGGGAGCGAACGGG
rnacentral:rRNA from 1 species